CCGACUGAGCCACCCAGGCGCCCCUGAUCAUGGUCAUUUUCACCCUCAGGUGGGACAGGCUCUGAGACAGAGCAUACUUUCUUGUUUGAGAAACAGCGGAGGGGCCGUGUGGUCAGAGCAGAGAUGGAUGGGGCACAUCGUGUAUGACCUUAGAGGCCCCAUAUGGACACUGGGUUUUAUUCUGAGAAAGAUGGGAAUUGUCGAUGUCAUGAGCUUGCAGAUUCCCUGACAAGCCUAAAUAUCGCCAGCAAUACCAAGACAGCAAAACUGAUGAAUUCCUACUCUUCAUUAAGCUGAUGUAACAAGUUGUUGAAUGGCCAUUGAUGACAGAACCAAGGGAUUAAUUCAUUGUUCUUUUCCAGGGCAGCUUGUUGUACCAGGAAACUCUACUCCACGAUCAUAUUUUUCAUUUGGUCCCUUCAUGCCUAAGGAAGUGUGUUUCAUAACACCUGUCUUAUCCUUUCCCCAGAGAUUAUGUAGAGUGGAGCUGUAUGAUUUAUCAAGUGCCUACCACCAUGUCUGGCUCAGAGGAGACACUCAAAGAAAUUCAUUGAACAAGUAUCAGACCAAGAGGAAAGCAUCAAGACCUGGCUGGAUGAUGUAAAAGGAUGUUGCGUAAGAAUCUGAAGUCAUUGUUCACCGACAAAUUGCAAAAGAUGAAGAAACUGAGGCUUAGAGAAAACUAAACAAACUGCCUUGAAGAGAGGUCAAGCCAGGAUCUGGCCCUGGGAAUUCAAGAACCUUCAAGAACCUUCACUUUUGACAAGUAGAACACUACAGAAAAAUCCUCAAAUUGGCAAAGGGGGUUGAUAUUGUCCCUGAGCAAGGUAGGAGAUUGAACCAGAGCAGGCGUCUCCAGCCUGAGCCGGACGGGUUGUUGAGAUGUGUGGAGAGACCCGGAAGAAGGCAAUGAGAAGGGGAAGGAAAGGAGAAACACUGACGUGUAGCGUUCACAUCAAAGAGGCUGCCGGUUGGCCUGGUGCCCAGGGCCCGGCUGCCGAUUUUCUACCCCAGGUCCAGGUGACCUCUGGGGGGCCUUUCAAAGCUAACAUGUUAGGAAUAUCGGAAAUACUUGUUCAGAGUCACUGUGACUUGGCUAUAUCGAUGCGGGCCAAUAGUCCACAAUCCGGUUGCGUUGUUGUGAAUGUUGAUGAAUAACCACUGGCUGCAUAGCGAAUUCAUUCAGUAUUGUGAAUUUGUCCUUUUUAUGGGGCUUUUUCAUCUGACCCAUAAAGUCUGGAACAAGAUUGCCUAGUUUUGAAUCUUGGCUUCACCACUUACUAAGAAGUGCAACUUUGAGCAUGUUACUUGACCAUUCCAUGCCUCUGUUUUCUCAUCUGUAAAAUGGGAAAUUAAGAGUACACCUAUUCCGUAAUAUUGUUUCAAAGGUUAACGUGUUGUUAUGUAUAAAGGAUUUACAAUAGCAGUUACAAAUAGUAGGUACUAUAUGUGUGAUAACUUUUAUUCCUAUCACUAUCCAAAAAUGAUGGUAGGUGAAAAAAAUAUAUAUUUGCAUAUAUGCAAUAAGCUAUAAUAAUCUGCACUAAAAUGAAAUUUACAUCCAAGACUUUAUUUUGCAGGGCUCUGUUCCUUGUUCUUGCAGGUUUGUGGAGGAUUGCACAACACUGAUGGGUACAAGUGCAGGCUCAGGACCCCAGGGACAUGAUUUUAGCCUCUACAACUCUACCAGUUACUAGAUGGGAAAAUUAUAAAAUACCUGGUCUCCAGGAACUGAAACUGUAGCAGUAAUUGGACACCAUGCGUUUUGAGAGAGAAGAAUCAUUAUGUUAUUUGUUUGAAUCCUGAACAGAGUAGAAGAGAAGAGUAGAAGCUUGGGAUGAGAAAAAUGGGAGUUUCCUUUCUAUUCCUCGUUUUUUGGUUGCUGGAGAUUUGAGAGUAGAUGGUAGCCAGUUUGCAGUAAACUGUCCCCCUGUGGUUCUUUGGUGCUGUAUUCAGAUCCUGAUUAUUCCCAAACACCUAGUUCAUGGCCCAUGUUUUGUACAAAACCCUCCCUAGCUAUCCCAGCCAGCCCAUACUGCUCUCAAUUAUGUGCAUAAACUGAAAUUCUUACACCUUUUGACACAUAAUCAUGUACUAUGUUGUAUUGUUUGUUGCCUUAUGUUCUAUAGAACUCUCUAGAGAACAUUCAUUCAUUUAGUCAGUGAACAGUAAUUUAUUGGAAGCCUUUGCAGGCCUUGAUGAUGAAAAGUAGGAGAGGAGUUGUUUUGGACACAUUGUGCAUAUAUACUGAGUACGUAUA